UAAAAAGCUAAAUAAGGGCGUAUGGUGGAUGCCUAGGCUCUCAGAGGCGAUGAAGGACGUGAUAAGCUGCGAAAAGCUGCGGGGAUUAGCACAUAUGAAGUGAUCCGCAGAUAUCCGAAUGGGGCAACCCGGUAUGUUGAAGACAUAUCACCUCGCAAGAGGGGCAAACCCGGUGAACUGAAACAUCUAAGUAACCGGAGGAAGAGAAAACAAUAGUGAUUCCGCUAGUAGUGGCGAGCGAACGCGGAUUAGCCCAAACCAAUGUUGUUACGGCAAUAUUGGGGUAGUAGGACCACGAGAUUUGAUGCUAAGAGAAUUAGAACAGUUUGGAAAGACUGGCCAAAGAAGGUGAUAGCCCUGUACAAGUAAUCGAAGUUAUUGAUAGUGGUAUCCUGAGUAGUGCGGGACACGAGAAAUCCUGUAUGAAUCAACCGGGACCAUCCGGUAAGGCUAAAUACUCCUGAGAGACCGAUAGUGAACUAGU
rnacentral:rRNA from 1 species